rnacentral:rRNA from 1 species
UGGGGAAUAUUGCACAAUGGGCGCAAGCCUGAUGCAGCCAUGCCGCGUGUAUGAAGAAGGCCUUCGGGUUGUAAAGUACUUUCAGUAAGGAGGAAGGCAGUUGCGUUAAUAGCGUAAUUGUUUGACGUUACUUACAGAAGAAGCACCGGCUAACUCCGUGCCAGCAGCCGCGGUAAUACGGAGGGUGCGAGCGUUAAUCGGAAUUACUGGGCGUAAAGCGCAUGCAGGUGGUUUGUUAAGUCAGAUGUGAAAGCCCUGGGCUCAACCCGGGAAUUGCAUUUGAAACUGGCAAGCUAGAGUACUGUAGAGGGGGGUAGAAUUUCAGGUGUAGCGGUGAAAUGCGUAGAGAUCUGAAGGAAUACCGGUGGCGAAGGCGGCCCCCUGGACAGAUACUGACACU